rnacentral:rRNA from 1 species
GACGUAGGAGGCGAGCGUUAUCCGGAUUCACUGGGCGUAAAGCGCAUGUAGGCGGAUGUCUAAGUCGUGUGUUAAAGCCCCUGGCUCAACUGGGGGAGGUCAUGCGAGACUGGAUGACUUGAGGGCAACAGAGGCACGUGGAACUCCCGGUGUAGCGGUGGAAUGCGUAGAGAUCGGGAAGAACACCCGUGGCGAAGGCGGCGUGCCGGGUUGCAACUGACGCUGAGGCGCGGAAGCCAGGGGAGCAAACGGG